CACUGCCCUGCAAAGUAGUGCUGUAGUGCUGGAGGUGGUAUUGCUGAUCUUGAUCCGACUGGGAGUGAAAGAGGGAGGUGUUGAAAACAUGAUCUUUGGCUCAGCUUUCCUUAGUUGCCGUGGGAUGACUCUGCUGAAUGCUGCACUGAGGUCUAUGGAACCACAUCUUCAAAUAAUUGUCUGCUUUGUCCAGGUGCAUCACAGACAGCCAUCCUCCCUUGAACUUGGUUUCCUAGCAACGAUGAAUGCACCAGCAAGAGGACAGAGGACAAAGAACGUGCCUCAUCUUGGGGGGAAAAUAACAAGUCUUCUCACAGGACUCCUGAAUGUCUUGUUCCUGUCUUCUUCCUCUCUUCUGAAAAAAAAAAUGCUGACCUGAACUGCUCAGCAGAUCAUUGGAUGACCACUGACCUAAUAAACAAACCAACAAAGCAAGGCCCCCAUCCAUUCAGACAUACACUUAUUUUGGAUAUUAAGCUUUAAGCU